AUGAACGCUGGCGGCGUGCUUAACACAUGCCAGUCGAACGGAAAGGCCAGUGCUUGCACUGGUGCUCGAGUGGCGAACGGGUGAGUAACACGUGGGUGAUCUGCCCUGCACUUUGGGAUAAGCCUGGGAAACUGGGUCUAAUACCAGAUAGGACCAUGCUUUGGAUGGUGUGGUGGAAAGUUUUUUCGGUGUGGGAUGAGCUUGCGGCCUAUCAGCUUGUUGGUGGGGUAAUGGCCUACCAAGGCGUCGACGGGUAGCCGGCCUGAGAGGGUGUACGGCCACAUUGGGACUGAGAUACGGCCCAGACUCCUACGGGAGGCAGCAGUGGGGAAUAUUGCACAAUGGGCGCAAGCCUGAUGCAGCGACGCCGCGUGGGGGAUGACGGCCUUCGGGUUGUAAACUCCUUUCGCAACUGACGAAGCUUUUUGUGACGGUAGGUUGAGAAGAAGCACCGGCUAACUACGUG
rnacentral:rRNA from 1 species